GAUGAACGCUGGCGGCGUGCCUAAUACAUGCAAGUCGAACGGAGAAUGUAGCAAUACGUUCUUAGUGGCGAACGGGUGAGUAACGCGUUGAUGACCUGCCCCGAAGAGAGGGAUAACAGCUCGAAAGAGCUGCUAAUACCCCAUGUGGUCAUUGGGAUUAGAUGCCCGAUGACUAAACGGAGUAAUUCGCUUCGGGAGGGAUCUGCGUCCCAUCAGCUAGUUGGUGAGGUAAUGGCCCACCAAGGCUAUGACGGGUAGGGGACCUGAGAGGGUGGCCCCCCACAAUGGUACUGAAACACGGACCAUACACCUACGGGUGGCUG
rnacentral:rRNA from 1 species